rnacentral:rRNA from 1 species
UGGGGAAUUUUGGACAAUGGGCGAAAGCCUGAUCCAGCCAUGCCGCGUGAGUGAAGAAGGCCUUCGGGUUGUAAAGCUCUUUUAGUCGGAAAGAAAGAGUUGCAAUGAAUAAUUGUGAUUUAUGACGGUACCAUUUAUAAGCUCCGGCUAACUACGUGCCAGCAGCCACGGUAAUACGUAGGGAGCAAGCGUUGUUCGGAUUUACUGGGCGUAAAGGGCGCGUAGGCGGCGCGGUAAGUCACUUGUGAAAUCUCUGAGCUUAACUCAGAACGGCCAAGUGAUACUGCUGUGCUAGAGUGCGGAAGAGGCAACCGGAAUUCUUGGCGUAGCGGUGAAAUGCGUAGAUAUCAAGAGGAACACCUGAGGCGAAGGCGGGUUGCUGGGCCGACACUGACGCUGAUGCGCGAAAGCCAGGGGAGCAAACG